GAACGAGACGCCAGAUACGUUGGCCCUCAUCUGCUGUUGCUACGGAAUCACGAGCGGGAGAUCAGAAGCAGGAAGUACACAACAUGAUCAGGGAUUAGUCCUGAGAGAUGACGCCUUUCACCUCCGAGCUGCAUGACGGUGUUUCGGAGCUCCUCUUCCUGGCCACCGACGCUCAGGUCGGGCAGCAGCGUCACCGGACAGCUGGGGUCCCCGCUGAUGGCCACCGCGCGGCAGAUGUAGCGCUUCCCGUCGUCCUCCUGGCCUCUGGUCAGUCUGGCGCGCUCCAUGGCACAAAAGCACAACAAUCCGUACAAGAGGUUCCCCUGUGCAACCGGUAAAUCUCUGAGAUCUCCAGAUUUACUCGUGUGUGUGCUUCUGGGUUGGUCGGAACAUUACAGAAUAAUGAACUGAAAGGAGGACAAUCAUUUGCAGGAGGGGGUGUUUUAAUAAAGCAAGCCAUGAACACAGGAUGUGAUGGUAAACAAUUAGCAACGGUCCCCAGCCUGGCUGUGAAAGGUCACUAAUGCCUGGUGAGCGCACUGGAAGGCACGCUGCGCGCCUGGGUCAUGCAGCAUCCUGUGCUAUAAUUCACACAGCAUGGCGUGGAGUUCAUGUGUAAUGAGAGGACUUUAAAGCAGGGUCCCUAAACUUUUUUCUUGUGAGGGCUACAUAACUGUUUUCUUCUCUGAUGUGGGGCCGGGGUCAGUUUGUAACAGAAAAAGUGUAACAAUCACAGCCUGAAUGUAAAGAUUAAUGGUCUUCCAGAAAGCCACACAUGGCCAAAUUUUAAAUAAUUCAUUUAUGUAAUCUUCCAAGAAAAAAAUAAUGCUAAAACAUUUUAAAAACUAGAUAUUUAGCAUUACCUGCAAUAGAUUAAUAG